rnacentral:rRNA from 1 species
AUUGAACGCUGGCGGCAGGCUUAACACAUGCAAGUCGAGCGGGGGAAGGUAGCUUGCUACCGGACCUAGCGGCGGACAGGUGAGUAAUGCUUAGGAAUCUGCCUAUUAGUGGGGGACAACAUCUCGAAAGGGAUGCUGAUACCGCAUACGUCCUACGGGAGAAAGCAGGGGAUCUUCGGACCUUGCGCUAAUAGAUGAGCCUAAGUCGGAUUAGCUAGUUGGUGGGGUAAAGGCCUAUCAAGGCGACGAUCUGUAGCGGGUCUGAGAGGAUGAUCCGCCACACUGGGACUGAGACACGGCCCAGACUCCUACGGGAGGCAGCAGUGGGGAAUAUUGGACAAUGGGGGGAACCCUGAUCCAGCCAUGCCGCGUGUGUGAAGAAGGCCUUAUGGUUGUAAAGCACUUUAAGUGAGGAGGAGGCUACUUUAGUUAAUACCUGGAGAUAGUGGACGUUACUCGCAGAAUAAGCACCGGCUAACUCUGUGCCAGCCGCCGCCGUAA